UUACGGUCACAUCAGAUUGAAACACCGGUUUCUGUAUAUUCACCGAAUUUAAGCAGCCUCGAGCCUGGUUAGUAACUAGAUGGGUGACUGCUUGGGAAUUCCAGGUGCUGUAAG